AAAAUUAAAAACAAUAAAAUUGGUACUUAAAGUUAACACACACUGUACAUUUUUACAGUAUUUCCAGUAAUUUGUUUACCAGUUUCCCUAACUAUUCUGAAAUCCUCUUGGAAAAUCCAAAAAUGACCACCUUGAUGCACCAACUAGAUAAAAUAUACAUUUAGAAAAGGUGCUACACAUGAUACAUCGGAGCAAGAUUUCUAGUAGAAAAAUUGCUCACAAACACAAAAAAAACCAUACACAUCAUAAUCGCUACGUUCAGAAUCUGAAACAUAUUAUUAGAAAUUCCGAAAAAUUUGCUAAAUUAAAUACCAUAGGUCG